UUUACUAUCUAUCUAUCUAUCUAUCUACUUCUAUCUACUACUAGUCUAUAUAAUAUUAUAAUCUAUCUGUACGUAAUAGGAGAGGCAAAAGAAGGAUAGGAUGACAAGUGUUAUCACCACAAAAAUCAAAAUUUAAAAGUAUAAAAUAAAAAUAAAUAAAACUGCAAUGAUCAAAUUAUUCAGCAAAAAAGUAAAAAUAAAAAUAAGAUAACUGGAAAUUCAAAAACCCGUACAACAAAUUAGAUAACUGCACACCAUAUUGUCAAAAAAAUAAUUAAUAAAAACCCACGUUUGCAAAAUUUCAGUUAACUGUACAACACAUCUUUGUAAAAUAAAAAAUAAAAAAUAAAAAUAAUAGAUAGCUGCAAUCAGAAAGUUAUUAACAUUACGCGCAGAUGGCCGGCCAUUCUCUCCCAUUUCUCCCUUUCUUUCUUUUCCUCCACACUUGCGACUGCAUUUCAAUCCUUUCCACCGGCGUUCCAGCCUCCAAUUUGCCCAGUAUUCUGUUUUUAGAUGGUGGCUGUGAGGCGGUGAAGAAGGAGAGGCAACAAAGGGGCUGACAGUAAUGGCUUGUAAACUGUGGAGUUUUGUGAUCGUUGUUCAAUGGAGGAGGGACAAUUGGGUUAUUUUGGUGAAGAUGAUGAAUAAGUGGCUGAAUUCCAAUCUUCAUUGUAGCAUAUGUGUGAGAAAAAGAAGAUCCAAAAUGGUGAAUUGUUCUCCAACAAAAAAAUUAAUGAAGAAUCUCUCAAAUUUUCACCCACAGAUGUGCAAAUAUCGUUGUACGCCAAAAUAAAAUUUUCCACUUUUUAAGGUAAUUAUCGACUUCCCUUUUAAAUUUAUUAUGUCUUUGACUUACAUAUGUGCAUAUGGGGAACGACAAAGCAAUUACUUCAUCUUCUUCAGAGAUGAAGUUCCACAUAAAGAAUCUGCCUACUGGAUGCCAAAAGAAGCUCGGAUCGAUGACGACUAGAAACUUCGAGAUUUUUUGACAAAAGCAACAUAGUGAGUAUUACUAGCUUCUACACCAUCUAUUGCUUCUUACAUCUCUAGGAUGUAAUCUCUGAUUUUCUGGGUAGCUUGAGUUUACUGAUGUGAGAAAGUUGUUUACCUAUUUAAUGGCUUAUUUAUAAUUCUAAAGAUUUGAGAUUCUGUUUAUGGUUCUUUUGUAAUCUUAAGACAGUGAACGUUACUAUCUUAAUUCUUUACUAUCAUUGCCUUUAAAGAUA